UAGGGAAUCUUCGGCAAUGAGGGGAACCCUGACCGAGCAACGCCGCGUGAGUGAAGAAGGUUUUCGGAUCGUAAAGCUCUGUUGUUAAGGAAGAACGAGUGUGAGAAUGGAAAGUUCAUGCUGUGACGGUACUUAACCAGAAAGGGACGGCUAACUACGUGCCAGCAGCCGCGGUAAUACGUAGGUCCCGAGCGUUGUCCGGAUUUAUUGGGCGUAAAGCGAGCGCAGGCGGUUAGAAAAGUCUGAAGUGAAAGGCAGUGGCUCAACCAUUGUAGGCUUUGGAAACUGUUUAACUUGAGUGCAGAAGGGGAGAGUGGAAUUCCAUGUGUAGCGGUGAAAUGCGUAGAUAUAUGGAGGAACACCGGUGGCGAAAGCGGCUCUCUGGUCUGUAACUGACGCUGAGGCUCGAAAGCGUGGGGAGCGAACAGG
rnacentral:rRNA from 2 species